ACGAACGCUGGCGGCAGGCCUAACACAUGCAAGUCGAACGAGAAGCCACCUUCGGGUGGUGGAAAGUGGCAGACGGGUGAGUAACGCGUGGGAACGUACCCUUUGGUUCGGAACAACUCCGGGAAACUGGAGCUAAAACCGGAUAAGCCCUACGGGGGAAAGAUUUAUCGCCGAAGGAUCGGCCCGCGUCGGAUUAGCUAGUUGGUGAGGUAACGGCUCACCAAGGCUACGAUCCGUAGCUGGUCUGAGAGGAUGAUCAGCCACACUGGGACUGAGACACGGCCCAGACUCCUACGGGAGGCAGCAGUGGGGAAUAUUGGACAAUGGGCGCAAGCCUGAUCCAGCCAUGCCGCGUGAGUGAUGAAGGCCUUAGGGUUGUAAAGCUCUUUCGCCAGGGACGAUAAUGACGGUACCUGGAUAAGAAGCCCCGGCUAACUUCGU
rnacentral:rRNA from 1 species